rnacentral:tRNA from 1 species
GCCUGGGUGGCUCAGUCAGUUAAGCAUCUGACUUCGGCUCAGGUUAUGAUCUCAUGGUUCGCGGGUUGGAGCCCCGCAUCGGGCU